CGGUUGUCUGUGUAAGGAGGAAGACUAAUUGGAAGGGCCAAACCGUAGGAACGAACCACGACCAGUACCUACCAAAGAAGAAGCAUUGCUUGCAGGGACAGCGUCUCGCUUCUCCGACACGUUGCUCUGGCGGCAGUCUUAAACUCCUGGUCUGGUGGCUUCACAUUUUGCUCUUGUAAACGGAAAAACGUUAGCUGACGAGACAAUCACGUGCCUGACUUUCUGUGGCUUGUCUGCUAAAAAGGUUCUAGUUCCCGGAAUCUUGAAGCUCGCUGAUUUAAAGAUAGUCUUGAAAGCACACCCGGAUUUCAAUGACAUCAGAGACGACACCAUUCUGCAGAUUAAGGACAAAGACUUCGACGAGUAUGUGGACAUUGAGGACAACAGGAUUCUGGAUGAUAAAUCCAAGAUCAUUUAUCCUCAAUGUAUGGUGACUCAAGCGGGGAAUUUCAAUGACAAGACCUGCACUGCUGUCGUGGAGCCAGUAGCACCGUCGUCAGGUGUCCUGACGGCGGUGACCACAGCAAUUACACCGAUAAUUUCCCCAGUGGCAACGCAGGGCUCUGCUCUGCUCCAGUAGGGACCCGAAGGCGUACAGGCUACCGGAGGUGCCUGUUGACAUUCGAGCUAGGCUGGUUACCCUGACCAAGGGCAACAUUCUUGAUCCACUUCGGCAUCGUAUCAUCGAGUGGCUGUACUACGACCUGUGCACAUAUACAAUGAUCCCACAAAGACGUCAGUCUCAGUCUACCCGGCCGUGACUUACAGCGGGCAUCAUCCCACAGCUUCUGACGCUGCAUGAAUGACGUUUGAGAGCCUCACGCUUCCAGCUCUGGAUAUCCCGGAGGCUAUCGAGCUGGCCUUUUGCGCGUAUUGGGCGUUUAAUGUGGAGUAUGGCCCGCACGUGAAAAACACGUUUCUGCUUUUAGAAAACCUGUGUAACAUGAAGCAAUCUCUGCCAUCCGUGGCUGUGAUGAA